rnacentral:rRNA from 1 species
AGUGAACGCUGGCGGUAGGCCUAACACAUGCAAGUCGAACGGCAGCACAGUAAGAGCUUGCUCUUACGGGUGGCGAGUGGCGGACGGGUGAGGAAUACAUCGGAAUCUACUUUUUCGUGGGGGAUAACGUAGGGAAACUUACGCUAAUACCGCAUACGACCUACGGGUGAAAGCAGGGGAUCUUCGGACCUUGCGUGAUUGAAUGAGCCGAUGUCGGAUUAGCUAGUUGGCAGGGUAAAGGCCCACCAAGGCGACGAUCCGUAGCUGGUCUGAGAGGAUGAUCAGCCACACUGGAACUGAGACACGGUCCAGACUCCUACGGGAGGCAGCAGUGGGGAAUAUUGGACAAUGGGCGCAAGCCUGACCCAGCCAUGCCGCGUGGGUGAAGAAGGCCUUCGGGUUGUAAAGCCCUUUUGUUGGGAAAGAAAAGCAGCAGGUUAAACCCCCGCUGUUCUGACGGUACCCAAAGAAUAAGCACCGGCUAACUUCGUG